GUUUCAGUGACGGAGGUAAAUCCCACUGACGGUUGGAUGCCGUGAUGAGACGAGCAGAAGGAAGACGUGUCUCAUGUUCCUGCAGAGUCCCCGGCUGUACGAGGACGUGGCGGACGGAGGUCCUCGGGUGGGGACUCUCUCACUCACGCCGCGGACGGGCGACGGCGAGGACGGCUACAGCGUGGUCACGGCGCCCGGGCUCCCGCUCAGAGUUGAGGACGACUCCGGGGGGCUCGUCUACUCCGAGGUGGUCUUCCGUCAGAUGGACCGUCCGCACGGCGCCUCCUACAGGGCCCCUGCGGACGUGGUUUACUCCACGGCUCGGGCGGCUCGGGGGUCUGGAGACAGACCGCUGUACUCCACCGUCUCUCCGCUCGGCACUCUGGAGGACGUCCACUGACCCCGAACCGUCCCGGUCCUUCAUCUUUCACUGUUUCAGUAGUCUGACCACAAACAUGAUGCAGUCUGCAGACCCUGGACCUCCCAGACCCUGGACCUCCUCUGACUCUGGACCUCCUCUGACUCUGGACCUCCCAGACCCUGGACCUCCUCUGACUCUGGACCUCCCAGACCCUGGACCUCCCAGACCCUGGACCUCCCAGACCCUGGACCUCCUCAGACCCUGGACCUCCUCUGACUCUGGACCUCCCAGACCCUGGACCUCCUCUGACCCUGGACCUCCCAGACCCUGGACCUCCUCUGACUCUGGACCUCCCAGACCCUGGGCCUCCCAGACCCUGGACCUCCCAGACCCUGGACCUCCUCAGACCCUGGACCUCCUCUGACUCUGGACCUCCCAGACCCUGGACCUCCUCUGACCCUGGACCUCCCAGACCCUGGACCUCCUCUGACCCUGGACCUCCCAGACCCUGGACCUCCUCUGACUCUGGACCUCCCAGACCCUGGGCCUCCCAGACCCUGGACCUCCUCUGACUCUGGACCUCCCAGACCCUGGACCUCCCAGACCCUGGACCUCCCAGACCCUGGACCUCCCAGACCCUGGACCUCCUCUGACUCUGGACCUCCCAGACCCUGGACCUCCUCAGACCCUGGACCUCCCAGACCCUGGACCUCCUCUGACUCUGGACCUCCCAGACCCUGGACCUCCUCUGACUCUGGACCUCCUCAGACCCUGGACCUCCUCAGACCCUGGACCUCCCAGACCCUGGACCUCCUCUGACUCUGGACCUCCCAGACCCUGGACCUCCCAGACCCUGGACCUCCCAGACCCUGGACCUCCCAGACCCUGGACCUCCCAGACCCUGGACCUCCCAGACCCUGGACCUCCUCUGACUCUGGACCUCCCAGACCCUGGACCUCCUCAGACCCUGGGCCUCCCAGACCCUGGACCUCCUCUGAAUAAAC
rnacentral:lncRNA from 1 species